AUUUGCAGGCAGUUAGCUCUCUGCAACUCUCACAUGGUCGCCCACUGAAGCUAACCAGGGCUGCGCCUGGUCAGUACCUGAUUGGGAGACCACAUGGGAUAGCUAAGUUGCUGUAGGAA
ensembl:rRNA 5S_rRNA 5S ribosomal RNA